rnacentral:rRNA from 3 species
GAGUUUGAUCGUGGCUCAGAUUGAACGCUGGCGGCAUGCCUUACACAUGCAAGUCGAACGGCAGCACGGGAGCUUGCUCCUGGUGGCGAGUGGCGAACGGGUGAGUAAUGCAUCGGAACGUAUCCUGGAGUGGGGGAUAACGUAGCGAAAGUUACGCUAAUACCGCAUAUUCUGUGAGCAGGAAAGCGGGGGACCUUCGGGCCUCGCGCUCUUGGAGCGGCCGAUGUCGGAUUAGCUAGUUGGUGAGGUAAAGGCUCACCAAGGCGACGAUCCGUAGCAGGUCUGAGAGGAUGAUCUGCCACACUGGAACUGAGACACGGUCCAGACUCCUACGGGAGGCAGCAGUGGGGAAUUUUGGACAAUGGGGGCAACCCUGAUCCAGCCAUGCCGCGUGAGUGAAGAAGGCCUC